rnacentral:rRNA from 1 species
AUUGAACGCUGGCGGCAGGCCUAACACAUGCAAGUCGAGCGAGCGGCGGACGGGUGAGUAAUGUAUGGGGACUGCCCGAUAGAGGGGGAUAACUACUGGAAACGGUGGCUAAUACCGCAUACUAUCGGAUAACCCAUAUGGGAUUAGCUAGUAGGUGGGGUAAAGGCUCAACUAGGCGACGAUCUCUAGCUGGUCGGAGAGGCUGAUCAGCCACACGGUGACAUAAACACGGCCCAGACUCCUACGGAGUCAGCAGUGGGGAAGAUUGCACAAGGGGCGCAAGCCUGCGGCGGCCAUGCCGCGUGUAUGAAGAAGGCCUUAGGUGUGUAGAGUACUUUCAGCGGGGAGGCGUUGCCCGCAGAAGAAGCACCGGCUAACUCCGUGCCAGCAGCCGCGGUAAUAC